rnacentral:rRNA from 1 species
AGGACGAACGCUGGCGGCGUGCUUAACACAUGCAAGUCCAACGGAAAGGCCCUGCUUUUGUGGGGUGCUCGAGUGGCGAGCGGGUGAGUAACACGUGAGUAACCUGCCCUUGACUUUGGGAUAACUUCAGGAAACUGGGGCUAAUACCGGAUAGGAGCUCCUGCUGCAUGGUGGGGGUUGGAAAGUUUCGGCGGUUGGGGAUGGACUCGCGGCUUAUCAGCUUGUUGGUGGGGUAGUGGCUUACCAAGGCUUUGACGGGUAGCCGGCCUGAGAGGGUGACCGGCCACAUUGGGACUGAGAUACGGCCCAGACUCCUACGGGAGGCAGCAGUGGGGAAUAUUGCACAAUGGGCGGAAGCCUGAUGCAGCAACGCCGCGUGCGGGAUGACGGCCUUCGGGUUGUAAACCGCUUUCGCCUGUGACGAAGCGUGAGUGACGGUAAUGGGUAAAGAAGCACCGGCUAACUACGUGCCAGCAGCCGCGGUGAUACGUAGGGUGCGAGCGUUAUCCGGAUUUAUUGGGCGUAAAGGGCUCGUAGGUGGUUGAUCGCGUCGGAAGUGUAAUCUUGGGGCUUAACCCUGAGCGUGCUUUCGAUACGGGUUGACUUGAGGAAGGUAGGGGAGAAUGGAAUUCCUGGUGGAGCGGUGGAAUGCGCAGAUAUCAGGAGGAACACCAGUGGCGAAGGCGGUUCUCUGGGCCUUUCCUGACGCUGAGGAGCGAAAGCGUGGGGAGCGAACAGGCUUAGAUACCCUGGUAGUCCACGCUGUAAACGGUGGGUACUAGGUGUGGGGUCCAUUCCACGGGUUCCGUGCCGUAGCUAACGCUUUAAGUACCCCGCCUGGGGAGUACGGCCGCAAGGCUAAAACUCAAAGGAAUUGACGGGGCCCCGCACAAGCGGCGGAGCAUGCGGAUUAAUUCGAUGCAACGCGUAGAACCUUACCUGGGUUUGACAUGGAUCGGGAGUGCUCAGAGAUGGGUGUGCCUCUUUUGGGGUCGGUUCACAGGUGGUGCAUGGCUGUCGUCAGCUCGUGUCGUGAGAUGUUGGGUUAAGUCCCGCAACGAGCGCAACCCUUGUUCACUGUUGCCAGCACGUUAUGGUGGGGACUCAGUGGAGACCGCCGGGGUCAACUCGGAGGAAGGUGGGGAUGACGUCAAGUCAUCAUGCCCCUUAUGUCCAGGGCUUCACGCAUGCUACAAUGGCUGGUACAGAGAGUGGCGAGCCUGUGAGGGUGAGCGAAUCUCGGAAAGCCGGUCUCAGUUCGGAUUGGGGUCUGCAACUCGACCUCAUGAAGUCGGAGUCGCUAGUAAUCGCAGAUCAGCAACGCUGCGGUGAAUACGUUCCCGGGGCUUGUACACACCGCCCGUCAAGUCAUGAAAGUUGGUAACACCCGAAGCCGGUGGCGUAACCGUUGUGGGGGAGCCGUCGAAGGUG